GGCAGGGGUACUGGCUUAGAAGGGGGUCAAAGGUUAACGACUCCCCGCGUGUCUUUUCUGAUUGGUUGAAGAAUUAAAACGUGUGGGGAGGGGGGGGGUUCGACCUUCAUCAUUUUUGGGUUAUUUUUAUUUCCAGGUUUGUUGUUUUAGAGUGAUUCUUUAGGAGCCAGGUGGUUUUUCUGUUUCUGCCUCUGUUGCGAGAUGCCCUGGCGUUUUCCCGAGUGCAUAUUUGAGUUUCCUUCCGUGUCGGACGGUUAGUCGACGCCAAGUUGAGUCCGAAGAUAAUAAUAAUAUUUCUUUUUUUUAUUAUAUAUAUAUUUCCGUUCCUCCGAAAAGUGUUUUCAGUCCUCGUGGUCAUGUCAAUCACUGGCGUUGCCUAGCGACUCGAGCCUAGGGCCCCCCGGUUUCCUGGCUGUUUCCGUCGGCGGCCUCCAGGCGUGUUGGACCCCGGAGCGGCGACACACCUGCCCAGAGACGCACGUGCCUACCUGUGACCUUCACAGGGAGAGGAGUUCCACCGUGACCUUCACAGGGAGAGGAGGUCCACCGUGACUUUUAACUGAACUUUGAAGAAACCCUGAGUGUUCACCGGUCGUUAGGGGAAGACUAGCUCUGCCUCGCUGUGGAAUAAGGGGCGGAGUCACAGUGGGGUUGUGUGUGUGUGUUCCUUUAAGGGGCGGGGUUAUGGACAGGUGGGUGUGUUCUUGGGGGGAGAGGCUGCUCAAAGUUAUUGAAUGUACACGAGUACUUGAAGUUUGAAGGAUUUCCCUUUCAAUUUUUUUUCAAGUUUGUUUUCAUUGUUAUUGUUUUUGUUUAAAAGCAAGAAUGUUCAGUUUUUAAAUGUGAAGAUGGCACUUCAAAAAAGAGCAGGCAUGGUUAAGGUUAAACCUUUUUUGUUGUACAAAUGUAAAUUAUUUGAAGAAAAAAAUAAAUGUGCCUUUUGAAGUUUAUGUUUGGCUUAUCUUUUUUUUAUAUAAGAAUGUAUUUUUGGUACAUUAAAGUAUUUUAAUCCACACAGAAAAUUCAUGGUCUGUUGGAGAUGAUGACUGGUUGCA
ensembl:lncRNA